rnacentral:lncRNA from 1 species
UGAAAUUAAAAAAGAUUAGAUGCAUACAAAAAAAAAGGAUGGGAUUAAAUAAUAAAAAAAGAAUAAAGUAACUAAAUUACAGAGGGGUUGGAUUAGUAAAAGGGGUAACUGACCCCAGUCUUCACGCACAAAAGGGAACUCGAUCCAUAAAGCUUCGAAGCUUUCUCUUCGGUGGGAUUUCCUUCUCCAAUGAUGGCCAAGGAGUUAUUGACGGUGGUUUGCGGUGGUUCCUCAACCUUGAGCAAGUCUCAUGGUAUGACGCUAUACAAGCUGAGAUUUUCAUUCGAUGUGGAUGAAUUUAGGAUUGGUUUGAUGGUCUUACCCACUGAUUCUCAGAUAGAGGGCUAUGAAAACUUUCUAAUUAGGUCAAUAUGGCCGAAUCGGACUAUCCAUGAAAGCUCAAUGGUGGCUCAGCCCCCUGCUGUGGAGUAAUGGUUUN